ensembl:lncRNA
AAAAAAAAAAAAAAAAAAAAAAAAAAAAAAAAAAAAAAAUUCAAAAGAACCUGACUUUCUUUCAGUCCAUAUUUGGACACAUCCUGUUCUUUCUUCGUAGUAAAUUUUGUUGCGAUUUUAAAUGCCAUCAUCGUGCGUCGACAAAUGAAUUGUAUUAUCUAGCUUCAGUCCUGCGUUUAGUCACCAGCAAACCUACAUACUGAAGAUCAAAAGAUGUAGCUAGCAUAAAAGCAUAACAUGCUGCAAGCUAGUUAACGCGCAUUAAUUAUCCUCUUCGACUCGAGCACGUUAUAUUCGCGCUCCCGACAGCAUCGUGGUGGAGCCGAGAUGUUCCGUCCCAACGCCGCGCGUUAUUCGCGGCUAGCUAGCGUCUUCCUUUCUGUCAGUUUGUUAAGCGGUGAGGUGACGGUUAGUCGCGGGGAGCGCAUCUUUUUAAUCGGUCCGUUUCCACGUAUGCCGUGACGCGCAGCGAGAUGGAAAGCUACUUUGAUAUUCGUGUGAGGAAAGUGCCGCGUAUUCAGAACCGUCUUGCGCACGAGCUUGAGCGAGCUCCUCGUUCUUAUUAUAGAAAUCCGAGAUCGACGGAUCUUUCCUGAGCAGGAGCGUCCGAAACGGGGUUUUCCCCAAGAGCGUCCAGGCUAGAGCGAGAUCGAAUAAUACAGCAACCGGUACACAUUUCCCUGCCCCAAUACUACCGGAAUUUCCAUAAUAAACAUGUAUUCGGAAAAUAAAUCAAAUAAAUAAAUAAAUCAUGCACUGUAUAACAUCCGGCUAAAUAUCAGUGACGAGAAAAACCCCACGCGUCCCGCGAUACAAGUUUCAACUGCUGCGUAAAGAGCGUGUUUUAUAGAGUACAACGCAACAAAACGCGAGAGAAACGUUUACGCGGCCGCUUAACAACCGGCAGAGGUCAGCUGACGAACGGAUUAUCAUCGUGCAUGUAAACACACCCGGGGGAUAAGAGUGUUGGAAUUUGCAGUGUGAUAGAUCUAGUCUAGAAAACAUGGCGGCAUCAGGCCGGCGGCCAAAACGAAACCAACCGUUUCAUGACGAUUGUUGGGAAUGAUUACGGAAAAAGAGGUCAUUUUUCAUUUCUUUAUAAUACAAAAUCUAAAUAAAAGAUCAAAUCUAUUAACUGUUCGUUUUUUGUUUUUUUUUGAGAACAAUAUUGACCUAAAAUCUCUUACACCGCCUGAAUUAAUCACGUUGUCGUUAUAAACUAAAAUGGAAAGCGGACAAAAACCUAACUAGCGUGGCAGCAUGUAGCACUGCUUAGCCACAACAUAAACUUACUUGUUUGUUUGUUUGAGUUCUGAUCAGCAAUAUCGUCGUGUACGCUAGCUAGUCGUCGUGUACGAUAGCUAGUCGGCGUGUAUGAGCUGGACUUUGUGUACGAUAGUUAGAGGUCGUGUACGAUAGCUAGUCGUCGUGUACGAUUGCUAGUCGCAGUGUAUGAUUGUUAGUCGUCGUGUACGAUUGCUAGUCGUAGAUCGCCGUGUACGAUAGCUAGUCGCCGUGUACGAUAGCUAGUCGCAGUGUAUGAUUGUUAGUCGCUGUGUACGAGUUAGACUUCGUGUACGAUAGUGAGUCGCCGUGUAUGAUUUAGACGUCAUGUACGAUAGUUAGAGGUCUUGUACGAUAGAUUUUUUUUUAACCUGAAAAAGCAUAAUAAUGUGAAGUAAAAUGGCGACCAGAGACUAGAGAGAACAUAAAUUAAAGACACAUGAUUUUCCGACACGUGCUUUCCGCCUCAUAACUGAGGCGAUAUGUUUUUGUUAAGUGAUAUUAUGGUGGGUUUUUUUUAAACCAAAAAUGUACUAACAGUAGCCCUAAAACUACGUUUAGCCCCGAUAAACAAGUAGUUUUAGUCGUGAAUGUGCUCAAAGGUAACAUUUUGUGAAUAACUUUGAAUAAAACCAAAAGCACAAACGCGUCAACUACAAAUCUUCCGUUGAAGUAGCCGACUUCGGAGCGUUUAAAAAAAGAGUGUGUGGUGGUCGAUUUGGGACGCACCCGGGAAAACCCGGCGAGGGAAAACGCAGCAGGCGUGGGACGCGUCACAAAUCGCGCAUAUCUGCACGAAUAAGUGCACUGCGUCGCGUGGGGAAUAAUGACACCAGCGCCCUGCGUAGUGCACUACCUGUCCAAUCAAGAGUGGUUUGGAACCCAGCCGCGUUUAGAUGCAGGAAUUUCACAGCUAGAGCGAAAUCAAACGGAAAUAAUAUUAAUCAUCAGUAAAAAAAAAAAAAAAAAAAAUGCGUUAACGUCAUUUGUAAAAGUUUUUUUUUUAAUAGCAGUACAUUCUUGUUGUCGUAUUUCAGUGUUGUAUUUUUAUAAGGAGGUGUCAGCUAAUAUUAAUCCCAGGUUGACUUUCUCAUCUUUGGAAAAGACGGAAAUUGUUUAUUUACUUAUUUUAAAGCGAAAAUUAUGGACGUACAGCAUUCAAACAAAAAUAAAAACAAAACACCGGCUUCUAGACAUUGCAAUAGUCGGUUAGCUCACUAGGCUAAAUAGCUUCAGACGUGGGUUUUUUUUUCAGUAUCAGUGCAAUCACGAUUAUUAUUACUACUACUACUACUACUACUACUACUACUACUAUUAUUAUUACGAUUAAUGUUCAAAAUAAAAGACUUUGCAACCUUAUGCAUGCUUAGUGCAAUCACCAAACCUUUCUCACACUUACUCACACACUUUUACAUUUAUGUCGUCAGUUGUGUCGGUUUUAGAGGCCGGGUCAUGAGACAAGCCAAAAAUGCACAUCUCUGUUUACAUUGUGUGUAAGAAUUGUAGCCUCUUUAGCACAUCCGCAUGCUAUUGUGUGUGUAUGGAUGCGUCUAAAUGCUGAUAUAGCUGCUAGAAAUUCAUAUACAAGUGGCUUAGCUUGGCUGCAGGGUGUGUGUGUGUUGUGUGUGACUCCUUUUCACCAACCAACCCAUUACAUUACACCCAGCCCCGAUCUUAAGACUCCAACAAAACCUUUCAAAAAGUGAAGAAAACAAAAACAAACGCCGGCUCCUCAUUACCUGAUCCUCCAUGUUCCUCGGCUCGCCUGGUUGUUGUGUUUAUUUACAGAAGCCGUGUUUUCUCAGGCCGUUGUUCCUCCCGACUCAUUGUGUGUCAGUUUCAGCCCCCCGAGAGAAAAAAAAAAAAAAAAAAAAAAAAAAGAGAGAGAGCGAGAGAGAAAGAAAAAACCGGAAGCCAAACGCGGCCAUUUUUUC